rnacentral:tRNA from 1 species
GGAGGGUAUAACUCAGUGGUAGAGUGCCUGCUUAGCAUGCAUGAGGUCCUGGGUUCAAUCCCCAGUACCUCCA